GCGUACGUAGCUCAGUUGGUUAGAGCACCACCUUGACAUGGUGGGGGUCGGUGGUUCGAGUCCACUCGGACGCACCA
rnacentral:tRNA from 9 species